rnacentral:rRNA from 1 species
UACGGAGGGGGCAAGCGUUGUUCGGAAUUACUGGGCGUAAAGGGCGCGCAGGCGGCUGCUCAAGUCAGGCGUGAAAGGCCUGGGCUCAACCCGGGAAUUGCGCUUGAGACUGGGCUGGCUUGAGUGCGGGAGAGGAUGGUGGAAUUCCCAGUGUAGAGGUGAAAUUCGUAGAUAUUGGGAAGAACACCGGUGGCGAAGGCGGCCAUCUGGACCGCAACUGACGCUGAGGCG